AGAUUGAACGCUGGCGGCAUGCCUUACACAUGCAAGUCGAACGGCAGCACGGGAGCAAUCCUGGUGGCGAGUGGCGAACGGGUGAGUAAUACAUCGGAACGUGCCCAAUCGUGGGGGAUAACGCAGCGAAAGCUGUGCUAAUACCGCAUAAGAUCUACGGAUGAAAGCAGGGGAUCGCAAGACCUUGCGCGAAUGGAGCGGCCGAUGGCAGAUUAGGUAGUUGGUGAGGUAAAGGCUCACCAAGCCUUCGAUCUGUAGCUGGUCUGAGAGGACGACCAGCCACACUGGGACUGAGACACGGCCCAGACUCCUACGGGAGCAGCAGUGGGGAACUUUGGACAAUGGGCGAAAGCCUGAUCCAGCCAUGCCGCGUGCAGGACUGAAGCCUUCGGUUGUAAACUGCUUUUGUACGGAACGAAAGUCUCUUUACUAAUAAGA
rnacentral:rRNA from 1 species